rnacentral:misc_RNA from 1 species
UCCCCGUUACCGAGGCAGUCUGAUUAGACAUAUACAACUAAUCACGAGGGUUGCGCUCGUUGAAGGACUUAACCUAACAUCUCACGACACGAGCUGACGACAGCCAUGCAGCACCUGUGCACGAUCUCCGAAGAGGGGCUCUCGUUUCUGAGAGCUUGCUCGUGCAUGUCAAGCCUAGGUGAGGUUCUUCGCGUUGCAUCGAAUUGAGCCACACGCUCCGCCGCUUGUGCGGGCCCCCGUCAAUUCCUUUGAGUUUCAGCCUUGCGGCCGUACUCCCCAGGCGGGGUACUUAUUGCGUUAGCGACGGCACCGAAGGGGUCGCUCCCCCCGGCGCCUAGUACCCAUCGUUUACGGCGUGGACUAC